rnacentral:ncRNA from 1 species
UGAUAUGCAAAGAAGAGGAUUAGUAGAAAUGAUAUUUUUUUAAGAGAGGAAACGGGUGGUGAAAGUUUCUAAAUGUACAUUUUGAACCUACCUUUGAGUUCUGUUAGAAUACAGCGGUAAUUGCCGUUAUAAUUAUAAUUGAGAGAAUAUGUUUAAUGUUUUAAAUAUAUUAAUCAGGGUGGUACCGCCGAUAUAACCUCGGUCCCUUUU